rnacentral:tRNA from 1 species
UUGUAGCUCAGUAGGAUAGAGCGCUUCCCUCCUAAGGAAGAGGUCGGGGGUUCGAUUCCCUUCAA